rnacentral:ncRNA from 1 species
CAAGGUCUUGGUCUUAAACCUCCUAUUAUCUAAACCCCAUGUUUAUACAUGCAAGCCUCACCAAAACAGUGAAACUGCCCACCAUAACGACUCAACGGAGCCGGUAUCAGGCCAUAGCCCAUGACACCAAGCAAUAAAGCCACGCCCCCACGGGCCCGCAGCAGUAUCUAAUAUUUGGCCAUAAGCGAAAGCUUGACCAAGUAACGGGGUCUUUCCUAGGGUUGGUUAAUCUCGUGCCAGCGACCGCGGUUACACGACAAACCCAAGAUAAUACCAACGGCGUAAAGCACGACUAAAAACCUAGUGUUAACUUAUUAAGAAUAAAGAUACGCUGGGCUGUAAAAAGCUAUAAGCCACACUAAACACACAAUCUUAAUACUCAAACACCUUUGACUCGUGAAAGCUAGGACACAAACUAAGAUUAGAUACCCUACUAUGCCUAGCCAUAACCAAACAGCCUAAUAACCAGCUGUUCGCCAAAUAACUACGAGUUAUAACUUAAAAUUUAAAAGACUUGACGGUACUUCACACCGACCUAGAGGAGCCUGUCUAAUAACCGAUAACCCACGAUUAACCCAACCUGUUCUAGCCCAAUCAGUCUAUAUACCGCCGUCGCCAGCUUACCUUAUGAAAGAAACAAAGUAAGCCUAAUAAUAACACAUUAACACGACAGGUCGAGGUGUAACUAAUGAACAGGACCAAGAUGGGCUACACUUUCUAACCUAGAAAAAACGAACAGACUAUGAAACUAGAAACUGAAGGCGGAUUUAGCAGUAAGAUGGGAACAAACACACCCAACCGAAGAUAACGCAAUGAAGUGUGCACACACCGCCCGUCAUCCCUGUAAGACACACAAACAAUUCAUAAACAACCACCCUCUAUUAAACAGGGCAAGUCGUAACAUGGUAAGCGUACUGGAAAGUGCGCUUAGAAA